GGCGGGGUGGCCGAGUGGUCUAAGGCGCUGCGUUUAGGCCGCAGUCUCAUUGAGGCGUGGGUUCAAAUCCCACCCCCGUCA